UUAGAAGCCGAAAGGCUACUUAAAACCAUCGCGAACUCGUCCAAGUUGCUUCGGCGGCGCGGCCUCCCUCACGGGGGCGCCGCAGCCCCGCCUCUCCGGAGGUGUGGGGCGCCCGCCGGAGGUACGAAACUCUGUAUUAUAGUGGCAUCUCUGAGUAAAAAACAAAUAAGUUAAAACUUUCAACAACGGAUCUCUUGGUUCUGGCAUCGAUGAAGAACGCAGCGAAAUGCGAUAAGUAAUGUGAAUUGCAGAAUUCAGUGAAUCAUCGAAUCUUUGAACGCACAUUGCGCCCGCUAGUACUCUAGCGGGCAUGCCUGUUCGAGCGUCAUUUCAACCCUCAAGCCCUGCUUGGUGUUGGGGCCCUACGGCUGCCGUAGGCCCUGAAAGGAAGUGGCGGGCUCGCUACAACUCCGAGCGUAGUAAUUCAUUAUCUCGCUAGGGACGUUGCGGCGCGCUCCUGCCGUUAAAGACCAUCUUUAACUCAAGGUUGACCUCGGAUCAGGUAGGAAUACCCGCUGAACUUAAG
rnacentral:rRNA from 1 species